rnacentral:rRNA from 1 species
GACGAACGCUGGCGGCGUGCUUAACACAUGCAAGUCGAACGAAGUGGCGAACGGGUGAGUACCGCGUAAUCAACCUGCCCUCCAGAGGGGGACCACAGUUGGAAACGACUGCUAAUACCGCAUACUGAAGGAGGGGAUUGCGUCUGAGUAGCUAGUUGGAGGGGUAACGUCCCACCAGGGCGAUGAUCAGUAGCCGAUCUGAGAGGAUGAACGGCCACAUUGGGACUGAGACACGUCCCAGACGCCUACGGGAGGCAGCAGUGGGGACUCUUCCGCAAUGGACGAAAGUCUGACGGAGCAACGCCGCGUGAGUGAUGACGGCCUUCGGGUUGUAAAGCUCUGUUAAUCGGGACGCGGUACCGGAAUAGAAAGCCACGGCUAACGACGUGCCAGCAGCCGCGGUAAUUC